rnacentral:rRNA from 1 species
CAUAGGUUAAUGAGGCGAACCGGGGGAACUGAAACAUCUAAGUACCCCGAGGAAAAGAAAUCAACCGAGAUUCCCCCAGUAGCGGCGAGCGAACGGGGAGCAGCCCAGAGCCUGAAUCAGUAUGUGUGUUAGUGGAAGCGUCUGGAAAGGCGCGCGAUACAGGGUGACAGCCCCGUACACAAAAAUGCACAUGCUGUGAGCUCGAUGAGUAGGGCGGGACACGUGGUAUCCUGUCUGAAUAUGGGGGGACCAUCCUCCAAGGCUAAAUACUCCUGACUGACCGAUAGUGAACCAGUACCGUGAGGGAAAGGCGAAAAGAACCCCGGCGAGGGGAGUGAAAAAGAACCUGAAACCGUGUACGUACAAGCAGUGGGAGCACGCUUAGGCGUGUGACUGCGUACCUUUUGUAUAAUGGGUCAGCGACUUAUAUUCUGUAGCAAGGUUAACCGAAUAGGGGAGCCGAAGGGAAACCGAGUCUUAACUGGGCGUUAAGUUGCAGGGUAUAGACCCGAAACCCGGUGAUCUAGCCAUGGGCAGGUUGAAGGUUGGGUAACACUAACUGGAGGACCGAACCGACUAAUGUUGAAAAAUUAGCGGAUGACUUGUGGCUGGGGGUGAAAGGCCAAUCAAACCGGGAGAUAGCUGGUUCUCCCCGAAAGCUAUUUAGGUAGCGCCUCGUGAAUUCAUCUCCGGGGGUAGAGCACUGUUUCGGCAAGGGGGUCAUCCCGACUUACCAACCCGAUGCAAACUGCGAAUACCGGAGAAUGUUAUCACGGGAGACACACGGCGGGUGCUAACGUCCGUCGUGAAGAGGGAAACAACCCAGACCGCCAGCUAAGGUCCCAAAGUCAUGGUUAAGUGGGAAACGAUGUGGGAAGGCCCAGACAGCCAGGAUGUUGGCUUAGAAGCAGCCAUCAUUUAAAGAAAGCGUAAUAGCUCACUGGUCGAGUCGGCCUGCGCGGAAGAUGUAACGGGGCUAAACCAUGCACCGAAGCUGCGGCAGCGACGCUGAUGCGUUGUUGGGUAGGGGAGCGUUCUGUAAGCCUGCGAAGGUGUGCUGUGAGGCAUGCUGGAGGUAUCAGAAGUGCGAAUGCUGACAUAAGUAACGAUAAAGCGGGUGAAAAGCCCGCUCGCCGGAAGACCAAGGGUUCCUGUCCAACGUUAAUCGGGGCAGGGUGAGUCGACCCCUAAGGCGAGGCCGAAAGGCGUAGUCGAUGGGAAACAGGUUAAUAUUCCUGUACUUGGUGUUACUGCGAAG